GCCUGGGUGGCUCAGUCGGUUGAGCGUCUGACUUUGGCUCAAGUCGCGAUCUCAGAGUUGGUGGGUUUGAGCCCGACAUCAGGCU
rnacentral:tRNA from 1 species